GACGAACGCUGGCGGCGUGCUUAACACAUGCAAGUCGAACGCUGAAGCUUGGUGCUUGCACUGGGUGGAUGAGUGGCGAACGGGUGAGUAAUACGUGAGUAACCUGCCCUUGACUCUGGGAUAAGCCUGGGAAACUGGGUCUAAUACUGGAUACGACAUGUCACUGCAUGGUGGCGUGUGGAAAGGGUUUCACUGGUUUUGGAUGGGCUCACGGCCUAUCAGCUUGUUGGUGGGGUAAUGGCUCACCAAGGCGCCGACGGGUAGCCGGCCUGAGAGGGUGACCGGCCACACUGGGACUGAGACACGGCCCAGACUCCUACGGGAGGCAGCAGUGGGGAAUAUUGCACAAUGGGCGAAAGCCUGAUGCAGCGACGCCGCGUGAGGGAUGACGGCCUUCGGGUUGUAAACCUCUUUCAGCACGGAAGAAGCGAAAGUGACGGUACGUGCAGAAGAAGCGCCGGCUAACUACGUGCCAGCAGCCGCAGUAA
rnacentral:rRNA from 1 species